GUGUCUUAGUCAUGCAAGUCGAACGGGAAAGUCAUCUUCGGGUGGCGAGUACAGUGGCGAACGGGUGAGUAACACGUGGGCAACCUGCCCCUAAGUUUGGGAUAACACUUCCAACGAGGUGCUAAUACCGAAUGACAAGGCGAGUUGAUGACUCGUUUUUAAAGGUGGCCUCUAUUUAUAAGCUGCCGCCUAGGGAUGGGCCCGCGUCGUAUUAGCUUGUUGGUAGGGUAAUGGCCUACCAAGGCGACGAUGCGUAGCCGGCCUGAGAGGGUAAACGGUCACACUGGCACUGAGAUAAGGGCCAGUCUCCUUCGGGAGCCAGCAGUCUAGAAAUUUGCACAAUCGCCGAAAGGCGGAUGCAGCGACACCACGUGGAGGAUGAAGCCCCUCGGGUGUAAACUCCUGUCAGAAGGGAAGAAGGCGCGGGCAUUAAUACCGCUCGUUGCUUGACGGUACCUUCAGAGGAAGCUCCGGCUAACUACGUGCCAGCAGCCGCGGUAAUACGUAGGGAGCGAGCGUUGUUCGGAUUUACUGGGCGUAAAGGGCACGUAGGCGGGUAUGCAAGUCGAUUGUGAAAUCCUCUGGCUCAACCAGAGAACUGCAGCCGAAACUGCACACCUUGAGUCCAGCAGAGGGAAUCGGAAUCCCAGGUGUAGCGGUGAAAUGCGUAGAUAUCUGGGAGAACAUCAGUGGCGAAGGCGGAUUCCUGGGCUGGUACUGACGCUGAGGUGCGAAAGCUAAGGGAGCGAACAGGAUUAGAUACCCUGGUAGUCUUAGCCGUAAACGAUGGGUACUAGGUGUUGGGGGACAUUGACCCCCUCAGUGCCGUAGCUAACGCAUUAAGUACCCCGCCUGGGGAGUACGGCCGCAAGGCUGAAACUCAAAGGAAUUGACGGGGACCCGCACAAGCAGUGGAGCAUGUUGCUUAAUUCGAUGCAACGCGAAGAACCUUACCAGGGCUUGACAUCCGAGGAG
rnacentral:rRNA from 1 species